GUCUAUGGCCAUGCCACCUUGAACAAGCCCAAUGUCUGAUCUCGGAAGCUAAGCAAGGUCGGGCCUGGUUAGUACUUGGAUGGGAGACCACCUAGGAAGACCAGGUGCUGUAGGCA
rnacentral:rRNA from 1 species